rnacentral:rRNA from 1 species
UACGGAGGGUGCGAGCGUUGUCCGGAAUUAUUGGGCGUAAAGAGCUCGUAGGCGGUUUGUCGCGUCUGCUGUGAAAACCCCGAGGCUCAACCUCGGGCCUGCAGUGGGUACGGGCAGACUAGAGUGCGGUAGGGGAGAUUGGAAUUCCUGGUGUAGCGGUGGAAUGCGCAGAUAUCAGGAGGAACACCGAUGGCGAAGGCAGAUCUCUGGGCCGUAACUGACGCUGAGGAGCGAAAGCAUGGGGAGCGAACAGG